ensembl:piRNA 21ur-5623 ncRNA
UGGAGUUGUUUCAGUCAGGUC